rnacentral:lncRNA from 1 species
AUACUUCAAGAGGAUCCUUAGAAGUCUUGGACAAGCUUACCCUUAUGUGGCAGCACUCCUCUUGCUGAUGACACAGUUCCUCUGUGAAUCCGUUUACAAGAUUCUGAAAGCUGAACAGAGAAUUUUGGCACUGCACUGGGUAGGAAAAAGAGAUUUAUAUUCAAGACUAGAAAUAAAUUUGAGCUCCAGUGAAAACAUCAAAGGUAAUUCAGACUUCCCAGUUCUACUCCUCUUCCAUAUCAGAAAUGUUGAGGCAACUGACAACCAGAGUAGACUCAGUGAACCUCCCUACCCACCAGUGAUUUUCCAGGAAUUGUAUGAGGAUUUUAAAAAUACUCAUGGAUGUUAUUAAUUAUAAAAUUAUUUGCAACUUCAAAAUACUGUGAAUAACCUAAAUUCCUAUCCAUAAAAGACUUACUGAAUAAACAAAAGCAUGUCUGUGUAGUGAAGAAUCA